GCAAAAUGAAACGAAAGAAAUGAAAAAUGUACAUGCAAGAAGACCAAAGUUCAAUUGAUAAUGAUCAACAGGAAACACAAUAAAUGGAAUGAACCAGGCAUGCGUGACAUACGCAAAAACAAAAUGAGCCAAAUGUUUGCAAAACCUUACGCCUACAAUGUUUCCACUGAAUCCGACAUUACCACCAUAAGCAAACAUAACAUGAGCCAAAUGUUCAUAAACCCGUACGACUAUAGUCUGCUUCCGGGAGAAAUACCUUAUGC